UACAGAGGUCCCAAGCGUUGUUCGGAUUCAUUGGGCGUAAAGGGUGCGUAGGUGGCGCCGUAAGUCAGGUGUGAAAUCUCGGGGCUUAACUCCGAAACUGCAUUUGAUACUGCGGUGCUUGAGGACUGGAGAGGAGACUGGAAUUUACGGUGUAGCAGUGAAAUGCGUAGAGAUCGUAAGGAAGACCAGUGGCGAAGGCGGGUCUCUGGACAGUUCCCGACACUGAGGCACGAAGGCCAGGGGAGCAAACGGG
rnacentral:rRNA from 1 species